rnacentral:rRNA from 1 species
AUUGAACGCUGGCGGCAUGCUUUACACAUGCAAGUCGAACGGUAACAGGCCGCAAGUUGCUGACGAGUGGCGAACGGGUGAGUAAUGCAUCGGAACGUGCCCAGUCGUGGGGGAUAACUACUCGAAAGAGUAGCUAAUACCGCAUACGAUCUAUGGAUGACAGCGGGGGACCGUAAGGCCUCGCGCGAUUGGAGCGGCCGAUGUCAGAUUAGGUAGUUGGUGGGGUAAAGGCUCACCAAGCCAACGAUCUGUAGCUGGUCUGAGAGGACGACCAGCCACACUGGAACUGAGACACGGCCCAGACUCCUACGGGAGGCAGCAGUGGGGAAUUUUGGACAAUGGGCGCAAGCCUGAUCCAGCAAUGCCGCGUGCAGGAAGAAGGCCUUCGGGUUGUAAACUGCUUUUGUACGGAACGAAACGGCUCUGGUUAAUACCCGGGGCUAAUGACGGUACCGUAAGAAUAAGCACCGGCUAACUACGUG